UACGAAGGGGGCUAGCGUUGCUCGGAAUCACUGGGCGUAAAGCGCACGUAAGCGGAUUGCUAAGUCAGGGGUGAAAUCCUGGAGCUCAACUCCAGAACUGCCCUUGAUACUGGCGGUCUCGAGUCCGGGAGAGGUGAGUGGAACUGCGAGUGUAGAGGUGAAAUUCGUAGAUAUUCGCAAGAACACCAGUGGCGAAGGCGGCUCACUGGCCCGGUACUGACGCUGAGGUGCGAAAGCGUGGGGAGCAAACAGG
rnacentral:rRNA from 1 species